GGAGUCUGGGCCGUGUCUCAGUCCCAAUGUGGCCGUCCGCCCUCUCAGGCCGGCUACCGAUCGUCGCCUUGGUGGGCCGUUACCCCGCCAACAAGCUAAUCAGACGCAUCCCCAUCCAUUACCGUUGAAAACUUUGGUCUCGCUUAGAUGUCUGCACGAGACCGCAUCAGGGAUUAAUCCAGUUUUCACUGGGCUAUACCUGAGUAAUGGGCAGGUUGGAUACGCGUUACUCACCCGUGCGCCGGUCGCCAUCGACAAUAGCAAGCUAUCGUCAUGCUGCCCCUCGACUUGCAUGUGUUAAGCCUGUAGCUAGCGUUCAUC
rnacentral:rRNA from 1 species